CCCUUUCUCUCUCUUCCCCAAUACAUACACUUUCCAUUUCCAGAUCUAUGAGUAUUGCGUGGAUCCACCUUUUUUAACAUUAAAAAACAAAAGAAGGAAUAACAAAUACCAUGGACCGACCACAAUGAUUCCAUUCAUGUAUGAGCCAUUUUGGUGCAAAGUUGAAACAAAAAUUGGCACAUGCAGAUUCAAUCAGGGAAGUGGACUACGGUGGUAGAUAGAUUGCAAUUU